GGUCAGGCACCACACCAAACUUUUGUUUUGUUUGCAUUAGGGCUUUGUCUCUAUUGGCUCCGCAGUAUUUUUAUCUCCUCUUUCAUCAAUUGGUCCUGAUGAAUUUAAGAUUCGCUAUCAUACAAACUACAGUUUUAGAACAAAUCGUCCUUUCAUUUAGUUAAUACCAGCAGCAUAGCUAUAAAGCUGUAAUAGUUUACAGCUUUCAGGACAUAACCUGCAACCACAGACAAUACAAAUUAUAUUACACUGUGUUUUAUUGCUCUUUGAGGCCCACUAAGAGGCUCAGUGCUGUUUCAUAGUCCAGAGUAGCAGCAGCUCUUUAUUCUUUUUAACAUAUAGCCAAAAGAUACUUUAAUUCUGUUUCAAAAUGGUGUGUUUAUUUUUUUGUGAGUCUGUCCUCAAAAUUGCUUGUAGUUCACUUACUGUAGGAUGCAAACAGCACUCUCCAUGCAAUUAAAGGAGAGUAUGCACGCACAGGGAGAAAUGUCGUCUUCCACACGCACUAUCUGCACAAAGAGCGUCUCCAUUUUGAAAAAGAAACAACAAGACCCCACACUUUGAUAGUAAUUUGCAAGGAUAUGACAUCUGAGAAGGAUUUAUACUUGUUGUUGCUCUGCACACCCUGCCAUGCCAGAGAGGACUCCAGAGCUGCUGCUGUAACCAUGGCCACUCCUCAUUCACCACUCUUGGCAAAUUUCUCCUGGUGUAAAAGGCAGUGGGAAGGAGAGAUGCACCAGCAGAUGCAUGAACACGAUAACCCUGUGUCUCUCUCAGCAAACCACCAUGUGCCUAAAACCCACUGAAUUUGUAAGCAUUAUCUGAGAACAUUCUUUCAGCAAAAUCACCUCAACAUCUGCAACACAGAAAACAAAGCAAAUAUAUAAUCAACCUAGUUUAAAAUCUGGCUUCAGUCAAAUGUCACGGGAGCUUCAUGCAGGCUCUGGAAGCUGGAUUUUUUAUGCAUCUGCCCAAAUUGAAAAGGUUAUUUCACUGUCUUCAGGAUGACUCUUGAGCUGAAGGCAGAGCUGAGGGUUGCUGUCCUGAAAGAAGGGAAGUUGCUAGGAGAUAAGUCCAAGAUUUCAGACAGCAUUGGUUGGAGUUAUCUCUAAUUGACAGCUGCUUACCCUAAGGGUCUAAUUCUAACCUUGAGACCAAAACCAUAAUGAGAGGGCAGCUUUCCUUCACCCCUGUUUUCUAGCCAGGGCAAGGAGAUUACCGCAGGUCUGUUCUUCUCUGGUUUUUGUUAUGCUUCUUUUCGUGGGGCAACCCUGUGAGGCUCAGAGCCUGCUGUGCUUUCUGAGGCUAUAGUUUGCAUCAGUGAGCCCUGUCUGAUUC
rnacentral:lncRNA from 1 species